UAAUAAUGCUGGCUUUUGGUUUAGUUUCAGUAAAAGAACCGGGAUGGCAAAAGGCUUACAGCUGGAAGGAACUUGCUAUGAGUCUUAGAUGAGACUUUGGACUUUUGUUGCUGGAGCAAGUUAAGACUUUUGGGACUACUGGAAUGGAAUGAUUGUAUUUUGUAUAUGAGAAGCACAUGAUUUUUUUGAGGCUAGGGGCAGAAUGCUAUAUUUGCAUAUGUUCAUCACCAUCAAAACUCAUGUUGAAAUGUUAUUUUCAGUGCCGCAGUAUAGGGAAAUGGAGCCUAGGGGAGCUGUUUGGGUCAAGGGAAUGGAUCCAUUAUGAAUGACUUGGUGCUGUUCUCGCAGUAGUGAGCUCUUGCUCUCAUGAGACUGGAUUAUUCUCAUGGAAAUGGAUUAGUUCCCAUGAGAGUGGGUUGUUAUAAAGCAAGAUGCUCUUGGGUUUUGCCCCUUUGCACAUGUCUGCUUCCCCUUUGACCUUCUGCCAUGUUAUGAUGCAGCACAAAAGCCCUCACCAGAAGCCAAGCUGAUGCUGGCACCGUGCUUCUUGUACUUCCCAGCCUGCAGAACCAUGAGCUAAAUAAACCUUUCUUAUAAAUUAUCCAGUCUGAUGUAUUAUGCUAUAGCAACACAAAAUAGACUAAGACGGGUGUUAUUAUCCAAAUUAAUUUAUUAGGCAGAACACAAUCACAUGAUUUAUACAAAGGAAUUAGCAGAGAAGACACAGUUUUCGGUACUACCGUUGAAAAAUUUGUUCCUCAGAGUUGGAGUGUGCUGUGGGAUACACUAAUGGGGAUGUUACACAGAUUAUUUUAGCAUGUUUUACUGCUUUCACUUCUAAGAGGUAAGCGACAUUGAAGUAUCAUGUCUUUCCUCCAGACUGGAACCUUUCAUGGUCAGAGAUAUCCUGUUAAUGCCUGUUUUUAUUUCUGCAAUAAAGCCAUGAAAGUAAUAAAUUGGAUGGGAAGGAUCUUUGAGGCCAAUGGUCAAAAUAUAAGAUUUCCAAAAGAAAAAUGUCAUCAGCCUGUAGGAACACAUGUUCUGGCUUGC
rnacentral:lncRNA from 10 species